GGCAACUUGGCCGAGCGGUCUAAGGCGGUAGACUCAAGAUAACAUCUUCCACUCAGAAAUGAAUGGUAUUCUACUCUCGAAAGAGGCGUGAGUUCGAAUCUCACAGUUGUCA
rfam:Podospora anserina genomic DNA, chromosome 5.